UACGUAGGGGGCAAGCGUUGUCCGGAUUUACUGGGCGUAAAGAGCGUGUAGGCGGCCAAGCAGGUCCGUUGUGAAAACUGGAGGCUUAACCUCCAGACGUCGACGGAAACCGCGUGGCUAGAGUCCGGAAGAGGAGAGUGGAAUUCCUGGUGUAGCGGUGAAAUGCGCAGAUAUCAGGAAGAACACCAAUGGCGAAAGGCAGCUCUCUGGGACGGUACUGACGCUGAGACGCGAAAGCGUGGGGAGCGAACAGG
rnacentral:rRNA from 1 species